UGAUCUUCAUUAGCCUCUCCCUAUUUAACCAAUAGAAGAAAAAAAAAAGAAAAAAAACAAGGAGGCAUCGCUAGCAGCUAGCCCUAGCCGCCGCCGUCGGCGUCUGCACCUCUGCACCGCCGCUGCUGUGCGUCCGACGCCGGUCGCCACAGCCAUCGUCUCCUUGAGGAGGAGGAGGUUCUGAAGGCACAGGAAAGCAAGAGGGGAAAAGGAGAAAAAAAAGAGGCAAAGUUGGGGAUUUUCUGGGAUUUCACGAAUUGAUGUCGAAUUUGUUUUCCUCCUCAGUUAGGGUGUGGAGGGUUACAACGUUGGAGGAGUUGAGUCAGAUUAUCGAAGGAGUUAAGG